rnacentral:rRNA from 1 species
GAUGAACGCUAGCGAUAGGCUUAACACAUGCAAGUCGAGGGGCAGCAUGGUCUUAGCUUGCUAAGACUGAUGGCGACCGGCGCACGGGUGCGUAACGCGUAUGCAACUUGCCUCUCAGAGGGGGAUAACCCGUCGAAAGACGGACUAAUACCGCGUACACUUGGGAUAGGGCAUCCUGACCCAAGGAAAUGAAAUUCGCUGUGAGAUAGGCAUGCGUCCCAUUAGCUAGUUGGUGAGGUAACGGCUCACCAAGGCGACGAUGGGUAGGGGAACUGAGAGGUUGAACCCCCACACUGGUACUGGGACACGGACCAGACUCCUACGGGAGGCAGCAGUGAGGAAUAUUGGUCAAUGGGCGAGAGCCUGAACCAGCCAAGUCGCGUGAAGGAUGACUGUCUUAUGGAUUGUAAACUUCUUUUAUACGGGAAUAACAAGAGCCACGUGUGGCUGCCUGCAUGUACCGGAUGAAUAAGCAUCGGCUAACUCCGUG